rnacentral:rRNA from 1 species
GUGGGGAAUCUUGCGCAAUGGGCGAAAGCCUGACGCAGCCAUGCCGCGUGAAUGAUGAAGGUCUUAGGAUUGUAAAAUUCUUUCACCGGGGACGAUAAUGACGGUACCCGGAGAAGAAGCCCCGGCUAACUUCGUGCCAGCAGCCGCGGUAAUACGAAGGGGGCUAGCGUUGCUCGGAAUUACUGGGCGUAAAGGGCGCGUAGGCGGACAGUUAAGUUGGGGGUGAAAGCCCGGGGCUCAACCUCGGAACUGCCUUCAAUACUGGCUGUCUUGAGUAUGAGAGAGGUGUGUGGAACUCCGAGUGUAGAGGUGAAAUUCGUAGAUAUUCGGAAGAACACCAGUGGCGAAGGCGACACACUGGCUCAUUACUGACGCUGAGGCGCGAAAGCGUGGGGAGCAAACAGGAUUAGAUACCCGGGUAGUCC